rnacentral:tRNA from 1 species
GUCUUAGUGGUGUAACGGUAGCACACUUGGCGCGUAUUCAAGAGUUCCAGGUUCGAGUCCCGGCGACGGCA